rnacentral:rRNA from 1 species
UGGGGAAUAUUGGACAAUGGGCGCAAGCCUGAUCCAGCAAUGCCGCGUGAGUGAUGAAGGCCUUAGGGUUGUAAAGCUCUUUCGCACGCGACGAUGAUGACGGUAGCGUGAGAAGAAGCCCCGGCUAACUUCGUGCCAGCAGCCGCGGUAAUACGAAGGGGGCUAGCGUUGUUCGGAAUUACUGGGCGUAAAGGGCGCGUAGGCGGCCUGUUUAGUCAGAAGUGAAAGCCCCGGGCUCAACCUGGGAAUAGCUUUUGAUACUGGCAGGCUUGAGUUCCGGAGAGGAUGGUGGAAUUCCCAGUGUAGAGGUGAAAUUCGUAGAUAUUGGGAAGAACACCGGUGGCGAAGGCGGCCAUCUGGACGGACACUGACGCUGAGGCGCGAAAGCGUGGGGAGCAAACAGGAUUAGAUACCCUGGUAGUCCACGCCGUAAAACGAUGAAUGCUAGACGUCGGGGUGCAUGCACUUCGGUGUCGCCGCUAACGCAUCAAGCAUUCUGCCUGGGGAGUACGGCCGCAAGGUU